AGUGAACGCUGGCGGCGUGCUUAACACAUGCAAGUCGAACGAUAACGGAUUAUAGCUUGCUAUAAUUGUCAGCUAAGUGGCGCACGGGUGAGUAAUGUAUAGGUAAUAUGCCUCUUACUAAGGGAUAACAAAUGGAAACGUUUGCUAAUACCUUAUACUCCUUAUUAACAUAAGUUAAUAAGGGAAAGAUUUAUUGGUAAGAGAUUAGCCUGUAUUGUAUCAGUUAGUUGGUGGGGUAAUGGCUUACCAAGACUAUGACACAUAACUGGUUUGAGAGGAUGAUCAGUCACACUGGAACUGAGACACGGUCCAGACUCCUACGGGAGGCAGCAGUGGGGAAUAUUGCACAAUGGACGAAAGUCUGAUGCAGCAACGCCGCGUGGAGGAUGACACAUUUCGGUGCGUAAACUCCUUUUAUAUGAGAAGAUAAUGACGGUAUUAUAUGAAUAAGCACCGGCUAACUCCGUGCCAGCCGCCGCCGUAC
rnacentral:rRNA from 1 species